AAUAGGAGAAUGACAAAUUAGAUUUUUCUUUCUAAUAUUCAGCUUUUUCUCCAUCUAACUUAAAAUGCUAAAAAUUAAGAGGAAAAAUCUGAUUUGUCAUUCUUCUAUU
rfam:Gossypium raimondii Chr11_contig_105, whole genome shotgun sequence.